UUGGGUAUCCAUAUUUGAUGGAUAUAUCUAUCCGUACUAAAAUUGAGCUUUGCUACACUUAAACCCCUCAAAAACCUUACCCCCAUUAGCAAUGGCGGUUUCUUCCUUUCUAUCGCCAUUCCCUUUGCUUCCAUUUUCUGUUCCCUUUGCUUUCUCCCCAAAGUGUCAGUCGGUGGCGGCGCCAAUCAAUCUUGUGUUUCAGAGCUUCUCUGCUGUAGCACAGAGACCAGUGCUCGCGAAAGCUGUCUCCGCUAAUACGACAUGGGAAAGCCUCGACACUGUCAACAUUGCCGAUGAUGUGACUCAGUUGAUUGGAAGUACACCCAUGGUAUAUCUCAACAAAGUAACAGAAGGUUGUUUGGGAAAUGUUGCUGCAAAACUCGAAUCAAUGCAACCAUGCCGAAGUGUCAAAGACAGAAUUGGUUACAGUAUGAUAUCCAGUGCCGAGGAGAGUGGUGUGAUUUCUCCAGAUAAGACCAUAUUAGUUGAACCAACAACUGGGAAUACGGGACUUGGCAUAGCUUUCGUUGCUGCAGCAAAAGGGUACAAACUUGUAGCCACCAUGCCUGCAUCCAUAAAUGUUGAAAGGAGGGUCCUACUACGUGCUUUUGGUGCAGAAAUUGUUUUGACAGACCCAGAGAAAGGCCUCCAAGGGGCUAUUGCCAAAGCUGAAGAAAUUCUAAUUAGUACUCCCAACGCUUACAUGCUUCAACAGUUUGAUAAUAGUGCUAAUACAAAGGUACAUUUUGAAACUACAGGACCUGAGAUAUGGGAGGAUACCAUGGGUAGUGUUGACAUUUUAGUGGCUGGAAUUGGAACUGGUGGUACCAUUACUGGCACUGGUCGAUACCUAAAUAUGAGAAAAGAAACAAUUCAGAUAGUUGGUGUAGAACCUGCAGAAAGAAGUAUAAUCUCUGGAGAAAAUGCCGGUUAUGUGCCCCCUAUUCUGGAUAUCAAGUUGCUUGAUGAGGUGAUCAAGGUAAUUACUUCCUUUCAAAGGUAACCAAUGAUGAAGCUAUAGAAAUGGCCAGGAGAUUAGCAUUGGAGGAAGGCCUACUGGUUGGCAUUUCAUCAGGAGCUGCUGCAGUUGCAGCGAUAAGUUUGGCAAGAAGGCCUGAAAACGCGGGGAAACUUAUUGUGGUUAUCUUUCCAAGUUAUGGUGAGAGAUACUUAUCGUCGGUACUUUUUCGUUCUAUAUAUGAAGAAGCUAAGAGAAUGUAGACAAGGUACAUUUUUUCAAGGCACAAGUAUCAUAAAAUAGAGUUGUACAUCAGGCAUAAUUGCAUCUAUAUUAGAUAAACAACCCUUGUUCCGAAGUAAAAAAGGGUGUGGAAUAAGGGCUUAAAAUGCGAAGGAAAAUGGUGUAAUAUUAUGAACUACAAUCGAUACCUCACAAAGUGCCAAUAGAAGUAUAGGGUAGGCACAUCUAAUCAUCUAGCCAUUUUGUGGUAAGUUUUGCCGUUCUUAUCGAUAAUCUUAAUAAGGACGUGUUUGGCUCAACUAGAGUAACUGAGGGUGUGGAGUUGAAGUCCACUCCUUGUAUUGAUCCAAGGAGUUCUUAGACAUCAAUUUCAAUUUGUUAGUCAUUUACAUCAUAGAUUCUACGACUAAACAACUCCCAUACUAAACGAUCUCUGUUCCUUGCUCCAGUAUCCAAUAGAAAAUAUUAAUCAUAUAUUUAUUGAA